ensembl:snRNA U6 U6 spliceosomal RNA
AUGCUUCGGCAGCACAUGUACUAAAAUCAGAAUGAUACAGAGAAGAUUAACAUGGCCCCUACACAAGGAUGAUACACAAAUUCGUGAUGCAUUCCAUAUUUUU